rnacentral:lncRNA from 10 species
AUUAAUGUGGUAUAGUUAGAAUGCGGAAUGGUUUGACAGCAGGAAGGAAUAAUGUGGUAUAGUUAGAAUGUGCAGAAUGGCUUGAGAGCAGGAAGGAAUCUAGUGUGAAAACUCAAGUUGAGAUAAUUAGUGCCAGAGCAAGGAAUUGAAGGUAAGAGAAAAGCCAAUGAGAAUAAUCUAUGAGGUCAAAUUGCUAAUGUUUGCAACUGACUGAAUAUAAGGGAUCAGUGGAGAGGAGGCAAAAAUGACUUUUCAUCAUUAGACAGUCAACCUUUGGCCAGCAGAUGAGAAAUCCCUUCCUUGUGACUCAUGCAUUACCAGAAGUCUCUGAUUUCCUGGAAUUUUUGAUAAAAUUUCUGAAUCUCUUAAUGAUAAAUUUUAAAACCACAAUUUUUAAUAUUUUGCUUAUGUAGUAGUAUCUCUAUGACAGUUUUUGGAGCAGACAUUCUUUUCCAAUUCCUGAUAUGAUCAGUCCCAGUGUUACCACAUUUGACUAAUAAUUGGUCUCUGAGAUAUCUAUUACCUGAAUACAAUUUGUUGCCAAUCUUUUUGUGCUAGAUUUGCAGUGAAUGAAUGGCUGGAUUCAUGGUGUUCUUUUAAAUAGGAAAAAUUCUUGGUGAACUCAUAAAAGUCCUAUUUUGUCAUUGUGGAUGAUGUCUGCAAUCAUCACUUGCCUAGGGUUUCUGCAAUAGCUACAAACAAGCCUCAUGCCCUCCAGACUCGGCCUGCUCCAAUCUACUUGCUGCAUUACAACUAGAGUUAUUUCUCUAAAAUGGAAAUUUGAAAAUUUGUUAUCUUACUUGAAACUCAUCAAUGGUCUCUAAUUUCAAAAUAAAGUCUAAACUCUUAAAUCUAGUCCUCUGCAACAGCAUGUAUUAUGUUACACAAUGACUGGUUACUCUUUUAUCUAAAUCUUCCAACAUAAUGAAAGCUUCUAAAUGUUUUUGGAAUGAACAAAUGAAUAGCAUAUUGUAUACUUUUAUGACAUUGAAUUCUCA